rnacentral:rRNA from 1 species
AGACGUCUACGAGUUUGAUAUGGCUCAGAACGAACGCUGGCGGCAGGCCUAACACAUGCAAGUCGAGCGAACCCUUCGGGGUUAGCGGCGGACGGGUUAGUAACGCGUGGGAAUAUACCCUUUGGUACGGAAUAGCCUCGGGGAAACUGAGAGUAAUACCGGUAUGUGCCCUUGGGGGAAAGAUUUAUCGCCAAAGGAUUAGCCCGCGUUGGAUUAGAUAGUUGGUGGGGUAAUGGCCUACCAAGUCUACGAUCCAUAGCUGGUUUGAGAGGAUGAUCCAGCAACACUGGGACUGAGACACGGCCCAGACUCCUACGGGAGGCAGCAGUGGGGAAUCUUAGACAAUGGGCGCAAGCCUGAUCUAGCCAUGCCGCGUGGACGAUGAAGGCCUUAGGGUUGUAAAGUCCUUUCAGAUGGGAAGAUAAUGACGGUACCAUCAGAAGAAGCCCCGGCUAACUCCGUG